rnacentral:rRNA from 1 species
GAUGAACGCUGGCGGCGUGCCUAAUACAUGCAAGUCGAGCGAAUGACGAGGAGCUUGCUCCUCUGAUUUAGCCGCGGACGGGUGAGUAACACGUGGGUAACCUGCCUGUAAGACGGGGAUAACUCCGGGAAACCGGAGCUAAUACCGGAUGAUAACGAGAAGCGCCUGCUUCUUUUUUGAAAGUCGGUUUCGGCUGACGCUUACAGAUGGGCCCGCGGCGCAUUAGCUAGUUGGUGAGGUAACGGCUCACCAAGGCGACGAUGCGUAGCCGACCUGAGAGGGUGAUCGGCCACACUGGGACUGAGACACGGCCCAGACUCCUACGGGAGGCAGCAGUAGGGAAUCUUCGGCAAUGGACGAAAGUCUGACCGAGCAACGCCGCGUGAGCGAUGAAGGCCUUCGGGUCGUAAAGCUCUGUUGUCAGAGAAGAACAAGUACCGGAGUAACUGCCGGUACCUUGACGGUACCUGACCAGAAAGCCACGGCUAACUACGUGCCAGCCGCCGCCGUAAGAC